rnacentral:rRNA from 1 species
CCUUGACAUCCAGAGAACUUAGCAGAGAUGCUUUGGUGCCUUCGGGAACUCUGAGACAGGUGCUGCAUGGCUGUCGUCAGCUCGUGUUGUGAAAUGUUGGGUUAAGUCCGCAACGAGCGCAACCCUUAUCCUUUGUUGCCAGCGGUUCGGCCGGGAACUCAAAGGAGACUGCCGGUGAUAAACCGGAGGAAGGUGGGGAUGACGUCAAGUCAUCAUGGCCCUUACGGCCAGGGCUACACACGUGCUACAAUGGCGCAUACAAAGAGAAGCGACCUCGCGAGAGCAAGCGGACCUCAUAAAGUGCGUCGUAGUCCGGAUUGGAGUCUGCAACUCGACUCCAUGAAGUCGGAAUCGCUAGUAAUCGUAGAUCAGAAUGCUACGGUGAAUACGUUCCCGGGCCUUGUACACACCGCCCGUCACACCAUGGGAGUGGGUUGCAAAAGAAGUAGGUAGCUUAACCUUCGGGAGGGCGCUUACCACUUUGUGAUUCAUGACUGGGGUGAAGUCGUAACAAGGUAGGCGUACGUGU